rnacentral:rRNA from 1 species
UCUUGGGUCAUUUAGAGGAAGUAAAAGUCGUAACAAGGUUUCCGUAGGUGAACCUGCGGAAGGAUCAUUAAAGAGUAAGGGUGCUCAGCGCCCGACCUCCAACCCUUUGUUGUUAAAACUACCUUGUUGCUUUGGCGGGACCGCUCGGUUCCGAGCCGCUGGGGAUUCGUCCCAGGCGAGUGCCCGCCAGAGUUAAACCAAACUCUUGUUAUUAAACCGGUCGUCUGAGUUAAAAUUUUGAAUAAAUCAAAACUUUCAACAACGGAUCUCUUGGUUCUCGCAUCGAUGAAGAACGCAGCGAAAUGCGAUAAGUAAUGUGAAUUGCAGAAUUCAGUGAAUCAUCGAAUCUUUGAACGCACAUUGCGCCCCUUGGUAUUCCGAGGGGCAUGCCUGUUCGAGCGUCAUUACACCACUCAAGCUAUGCUUGGUAUUGGGUGUCGUCCUUAGUUGGGCGCGCCUUAAAGACCUCGGCGAGGCCUCCCCGGCUUUAGGCGUAGUAGAAUUUAUUCGAACGUCUGUCAAAGGAGAGGAACUCUGCCGACUGAAACCUUUAUUUUUACAGGUUGACCUCGGAUCAGGUAGGGAUACCCGCUGAACUUAAGCAUAUCAAUAAGCGGAGGA